CUAAAGCGUUCAUUCAAACGUUUCUAAUGUAACUUGUAACUGACCGACCAGUAAUUGCUAAUUAACAGAUUCGCUAUUUCUUUUUCUUUUUCUUUCAAGGGCAUGCAAUGAAAUGCUUGAAGAUAAAGUCGUACAUGUCACAACGAAACCUCUACUAAAUAUGUUAGAUGAUGCUGCAAGCGAGUGAAGGUACACGUCUGUGUGUGUCUAUGUCUACCUUAGGCCGAACGAACACAGAGACGGCGGGUUCAAAUUCGAGAGGACAAAGAUGUUUGUUUUCCAUAACCGCCACACAGUGUCAUUGUCAUAAUUCCCCAUUUUCGGAGUUUCUGCCUCGACCGGUCAGGUCGCCUAUUUUUCAUGUGAAUAACUUGACGUGUGUACCGGAUAAGUGUCACACGACCAUGAAACUAACCCAUACAGCCUAUUAAUAAUCGACUUGUUACACCAGGACAAGCGCUCAAGUUAUGUCACUUUCAGCCUUUACAGUGUACAUCAAAAAACUGUUGUAUUUUUUUGAAGAAAUGGAAGGCAGAAAUAACUUUUAGUAUGCCAUUUUUCCGUUGAAUAUACAUCUCUAAAGUUUCAUUCUG